AAUCAACCAAAUUACAAACCCACAACUUCAAUCCACUUGUCGUUGCAUUCCCUUUUCUCACCCACAAAGGGACAAUAAUAUGGUGGUGUUUGAAAGCCACAAAGGCAAAGGGAAGAGAAGAAGAAGCAAGAGCUUGAAGAAGUUUACAAGAGGCAGCCAAAGUCUCUCCUCUCACACAAUAGGGCAAAACACAUGGUUCUUGCAAAAGGAGGAUGCAUAUAUAGUUUUAGGUAUAUUACCAAUUGGGCCAAGACACAAAGUAAUAGGCAAGAUACAAGGAAGCCCUCUUAUAUGUGGAUUUGGGCCAAGACAGCAUUAAACUCAAUUAAGCUGCAACUAAUAGUCCACGUUAUUUUCAGAUCGAGUAUAUAAAUUGAUUGGUUGAUAAAUAUUUCACUCAUCGGCCUCGACCUAUGAAAUACAAUCCGACACUGUUUAAUAUUAUUGUCCGGGAUUUAUUUGAUAUCAAAACCCAACAAUCCUAAGCCUAAUUCUCUCAAAAUCCAAUUGAUGGUCAUUGUCUAUUCGCAUUGUUGGAAUUCUUAUUCGUUCCUAUUGUUUGGAUUUCCGCAACAGCUCCAAUUUGUUAUCAUCGUAUGGAAUUCUGUAACAGGCUUUGUUUGACUUUUGGAUAGCUACAGUUUGUUGAGAUUGUGGUAGAUCAAAUUCAAAAUCAUUCCAACUUACAAAAAUCACCUAAGCAAUAGCGCAUAUCACAAAUUCUAUCUAAAAACAAAAGCAACCCAACUUUUGAGUAUCAAAAAUAUUUUAAUUCCAUUCUCACGUUUAAAUAAUAUCCAAAACUAAUAUUAUCAAGUCCUGUUACUACAAUUUACUAAUUAUGUCGAGCACAGCAUAUACGAACUCGUAGCAAUAAAGUGGGAUUAUUAGAUAACCCACAAAAUGGAACGCAGAAUGUAUAAAAUAAAAAUUGACACGGCAAUGAACAACAUUUUCUGUGUACACUGUUCC
rnacentral:lncRNA from 1 species